CGAGUGGCGGACGGGUGAGUAAUGUCUGGGAAACUGCCUGAUGGAGGGGGAUAACUACUGGAAACGGUGGCUAAUACCGCAUAACGUCGCAAGACCAAAGAGGGGGACCUUCGGGCCUCUUGCCAUCAGAUGUGCCCAGAUGGGAUUAGCUUGUUGGUGAGGUAACGGCUCACCAAGGCGACGAUCCCUAGCUGGUCUGAGAGGAUGACCAGCCACACUGGAACUGAGACACGGUCCAGACUCCUACGGGAGGCAGCAGUGGGGAAUAUUGCACAAUGGGCGCAAGCCUGAUGCAGCCAUGCCGCGUGUAUGAAGAAGGCCUUCGGGUUGUAAAGUA
rnacentral:rRNA from 1 species